GUGGGGAAUAUUGGACAAUGGGCGCAAGCCUGAUCCAGCAAUGCCGCGUGGGUGAAGAAGGUCUUCGGAUCGUAAAGCCCUUUCGACAGGGACGAUGAUGACGGUACCUGUAGAAGAAGCCCCGGCUAACUUCGUGCCAGCAGCCGCGGUAAUACGAAGGGGGCUAGCGUUACUCGGAAUUACUGGGCGUAAAGGGCGCGUAGGCGGCUCUGUUAGUCAGGGGUGAAAUUCCUGGGCUUAACCUGGGGACUGCGCUUGAGACUGCAGGGCUUGAGGCCGAGAGAGGGUGGUGGAAGUCCCGGUGUGGAGGUGAAAUUCGUAGAUAUAGGAAGAACACCGGUGGCGAAGGCGACCACCUGGCUCGGUACUGACGCUGAGGCGCGACAGCGUGGGGAGCAAACAGGAUUAGAAACCCUUGUAGUCC
rnacentral:rRNA from 1 species